GCUUCUCUUUCUCAUUCGCCCCUUCUUCCAUUUGCUGCAAAUGUCUGGGUCUCACUGUGCCCUGGUCCCAACCCAGACUUUGGGGAGGCGGCACCCCUGCUGCCCUGGGUGCUUGCAGCUCAGCAUUCAGGACCCCCAUGGCUGGGUGGGUUUGGAAAUUGCCGGCUGGAGCUGAUGUGGUGGGUCACAACCUCCUGGUGUUCUGAGUAAGCCGAGAGAUUCUGCCAACCUUGACACACACACACACACACACACACACACACACACACACACACACACGGGGCUCUGGGGACAUCACACACACAUCGGGAGCAACCCCACCAACGUAGGCUGCUAGAAGGCUUCAAUUGGCACAAGGAAACAAAACGCAUUUUUAAGAAUUUCCAUUUCCGAGUCUGUCCUCUAAUACUGAGCUGUCCUAGCAGACAAGCAGGGACAGGCACCGAAGGCCUAAGAGGAAAAGGAACAACAGACGAUUCCAUCUAGACCCUUCCUUUCUAUUCCUUUGUAUUUGGGCCUGACCUGGCGACUCCCCCCAGGGGAUCAGGGCUGUGGGAACACGGAGUGCAGGCGUGAGCAUGGGGGGGUGUAGUCCCGGCCAGCCUGGGCCCUGCCAUGUCACCCUGGGCGGUGUGGCUCCCCCCUUCUUUGGGAGGAGGUGACAAAGGGAAAGUCCUUGGGCAGCUGGAGGAGAGGGCAGGAGGGCCAGAGGGGGUCACACCAGGUGCUCCAGGGUAUCUGGUGAAUGAUGGGAUAAACGGCUUUCCGUGACUCCCACGGGCCCGAAUGCAACAAUCACUCAGUAUUUGGGGGAGACGGAACGGGUGUCAAAUGAGGAAACGGGCCAGGGGGCUCCCCCGGCCGCGAAGAGACGUGGACUCCGAGACCGGCCCUCCCCGCAGCACAUCACAGCUCCCCGUUCACUCCAUCCUCCCCAUCUGGAGAAGAGGGAGGGAGCCAGGCACGCCGGAAGGAGGGGUCGUCUGCAGAUCCGGAUCCUGAGAGGCAGCGGAGGCCCGACUUCGCGACUUCUCAGCUCUCGCUCGGGCCGUUCCCUCCACCUGGAGGGCCCCUGCCCGCCUCGGGGCGGCCACAGCCUCAGCAUCUCCGGCCCCGGCAGCCCGCCCCACCGCCGGCCGCUCCCCACCGCUCUCCCUCCAGGGCCAGGGGCGAGCGCAGCCCCGCGGCCGGGCCUCCCGGGACGACUCCGCGGCCCCCAGACAGCGCGGCGCUCCGAACCCCAGGUGAGAAGACUGAGGCUCCAUGCGGUUAAGGAACUUGAAGGUCACACAAGUGAGAAGGGGAGGUCAGUUGAUGUCCAUGUUAUCAGGUCUGUGCGGAGUCUCCACCUUUGUCUGAUUGGUCCCUCCAGUGGUACUUGUCACGGCUGCCGGCUCCCUCUUCUCGGAAACACCUUCCCGGACACCAUGCUGGUCCGUCCUCCUCCUCCCUGGCCAACCCCCAUGCUCCUUUGCAGACCCCCUCUCCUCCCCAUGCUCAGCUCUUGAUCUGCUCCUCCCCGCCCCACCCUGUCACACUGCCCCCUGGCUUUGAAGACAUCUGUCAGUUGAUGAUGCCCAAACGUGGCCAGGGCCACACUUCUCACUCCACCCCGAGUCCAAGCCACCAGACUCUCCCAGGCUGAGUGCAGGGAUCCCUCUCACUGGUAUUCCGCCUCCCCGACACCCCGCUCCAAAUAGCACCAGAGGGAUGGCAGUAGAGCCAGGUCAGGUCACAUCCCUCCCCUGCCUCACUCUGACCUCAUCCCCUUCUUCUCUAUCGAGGACUCUGCCCGGCCACACUGGCCUCCUUGCUGGCGCUCACCCCCGCCCCCCACUCCCACUCCUCUGCCUGGAACAGCCUUGCCCAGGUAUUUACACAGCUCUGUCCCUCACCUCCUUCACGUUCAAGCUUCAAUGUCAGCUUCCCGGAUCCUGUUUCAAACUGGACAUGCCCAUCCUGCCUUGACUUUUCACCAUACACUUAUGUGACAUGCUUUAUGUCUCACGUAUGCAUUUAUUUUAUUGCCAAUCCCCUGUACUAGAAUGCGAGCUCCACAGGGCAGGGGUUCCUGCUGACUUAUUCCCUGCUGUGUCUCCCUCCUGGAACAGUGCCUGAAACAGAGUAACCAGGCACGCAACAAACAUGUGUGGAAUGAAUAAACCUGUACC